rnacentral:sRNA from 1 species
GCUGGGCAUGGGGGCACAUGCCUGUAAUCCCAGAAGCUUGGGAGGCUUAGGCAAGAGGACCACAAGUUCAAAGCCAUCCUCAGCAACUUAGUGGGCCCUAAGCAACUGAGGAAGACCCUGUCUCUAAACAAAGUAUUAAAAAAGGGCUGGGGAUGUGGUUCAGUGGUUGAUUGCCUCU